UACGGAGGGUGCAAGCGUUAUCCGGAUUCACUGGGUUUAAAGGGUGCGUAGGCGGGCAUUUAAGUCAGUGGUGAAAUACCUGAGCUUAACUUGGGAACUGCCAUUGAUACUAUUUGUCUUGAAUGUCGUGGAGGUUAGCGGAAUAUGUCAUGUAGCGGUGAAAUGCUUAGAUAUGACAUAGAACACCUAUUGCGAAGGCAGCUUGCUACACUACUAUUGACACUGAGGCACGAAAGCGUGGGGAUCAAACAGG
rnacentral:rRNA from 1 species